AGAGCAGGAGCAGCCUCCCUCUUUUUCUCCAGAGAAGAGAAUACAGCAGAAUAAAAUGGCGUCGUUGUCAGCUAUUUCGAGAGCCGAAAUCCUGUCUCUGUACCGCUCUCUUCUACGCACAGCCCGCCAAUUCUGCGAUUACAACAUCAGAGAAUACACGAAGAGCCGCAUCAUCGACGCUUUCUGCGAAAACCGGAACCUAUCGGACCCCUCUACCAUCUCCGCUG
rnacentral:misc_RNA from 1 species